GCGGAGAUCGCAUAGUCUGGUAUUGCGCCGGCCUUGAAAGCCGGUGGUGUAAGCCUCGGGAGUUCGAAUCUCUCUCUCCGCG
rnacentral:tRNA from 3 species